rnacentral:misc_RNA from 1 species
GGAAAGUUUAAGGUUUUUGCCCAAGAUGAUAUGGUUGAUGCAGGUGUCUUAGAUGUGUUCUGAGCAGAACUAUUGUUCUGGGAAGCAAUUGGCUUGGGAGCUUCAGCAUCAGAAGGUUUAGCGGAGAGUUGUGGAGAUGAACUAGUGGAUUCAGAUUCCAUUGGUCGGUCAAUGAGACUGAAAAUUGAACAGAAGCUGGUGCAAGCUCUAAUUCCGUUUUCGAAUUUCAAAUGAAUGCCCAGAACUCAGCCAACGGUUUCUACAUUCAAGGCGGUGCAACGGUGGUGGCUGGUGGCUUCCGGCGACUUGUGCUUGUUAGUUUGGACAAAUUUAUCCAGAUCGCGGAUCGUAGUUGUAGUCGAAGCUCAAUUAAAAUAUAUAUAUUUUUUAUAAA